rnacentral:rRNA from 1 species
UACGAAGGGGGCGAGCGUUGUUCGGAAUCACUGGGCUUAAAGCGUGCGUAGGCGGAUUUAUAAGUCAGAAGUGAAAGCCCUGGGCUCAACCCAGGAACUGCUUUUGAGACUGUAAGUCUAGAAUCCGGAAGAGGUUGGCGGAAUAUCCAGUGUAGAGGUGAAAUUCGCAGAUAUUGGAUAGAACACCAGUGGCGAAGGCGGCCAACUGGUCCGGAAUUGACGCUGAGGUACGAAAGCGUGGGUAGCAAAC